CAGUAGCCACGGUAAUACGAAGGGUGCAAGCGUUACUCGGAAUUACUGGGCGUAAAGCGUGUGUAGGUGGUUGUUUAAGUCUGUCGUGAAAGCCCUGGGCUCAACCUGGGAAUUGCGAUGGAUACUAGGCGACUAGAGUGCGGUAGAGGAUAGUGGAAUUUCCGGUGUAGCAGUGAAAUGCGUAGAGAUCGGAAGGAACAUCUGUGGCGAAGGCGACUAUCUGGGCCAACACUGACACUGAGACACGAAAGCGUGGGGAGCAAACAGGAUUAGAUACCCCCGUAGUCCCUGUCUCUUAUAC
rnacentral:rRNA from 1 species